GUGGGGAAUAUUGGACAAUGGGGGAAACCCUGAUCCAGCAAUGCCGCGUGAGUGAUGAAGGCCUUCGGGUUGUAAAGCUCUUUUAUCAGGGAAGAUAAUGACGGUACCUGAUGAAUAAGCUCCGGCUAACUUCGUGCCAGCAGCCGCGGUAAUACGAAGGGAGCUAGCGUUGUUCGGAAUUACUGGGCGUAAAGGGCGCGUAGGCGGCCUUGUAAGUUAGAUGUGAAAGCCCCGGGCUUAACCUGGGAACUGCAUUUAAGACUGCAAAGCUAGAGGACGAGAGAGGAAAGUGGAAUUAUGAGUGUAGAGGUGAAAUUCGUAGAUAUUCAUAAGAACACCAGUGGCGAAGGCGACUUUCUGGCUCGUAUCUGACGCUAAGGCGCGAAAGCGUGGGGAGCAAACAGGAUUAGAAACCCUUGUAGUCC
rnacentral:rRNA from 1 species